rnacentral:lncRNA from 10 species
GCCUCCCAAAGUACUGGGAUUACAGGGGUGAACCACCAUGCCUGGCCUUAAUUUUAUAUUUUUUUGUAGAGAUGGGGUCUCACUUUGUUGCCCAGGCUGGUCUCAAACUCCUGGCCUCAAGCAAUCCUCCCACCACAGCCUCCCAAAGUGUUGAGAUUACAGGUGUGAGGCACUGUGCCUGGCCCAUGAUAAGUCUGGAAUUUGCAUUUCACAGAGCACUUUGUAUUGUUCACAUUUGAUGCUUAGAAAUAAGGGGCUCAUCUUACUAAUCCUAUUGAUGCCAAAGCAGGGGCAUGAUGAUGGUGAUGAUGGUGGUGAUGGUGAUGAUGAUAUUGAUCUUUGGACCACACCCCAGAUGCAACCUCUACCACCUGCCUCUCUCCUCAAUACUGCUGGCCUCCCUUUUUCCAAUCCCGCCUCAUUACAGUCGUCCCUAGAUAGUCAGUGAGAUCUUUUCAAAAGGAAG